UGCUUCUUUCUGAGGCUGUAACCUUUGUGGAAACAAGAACCAAGUCUGUUAUAAUCACUUCUCUAUUCCCAGCUUCCAGCACAGUGCCUAGUAUUUGCAGAAGCUGCUUAAAAAGUACUUCUUUAAUUGAGGAACCAAAAAUGAAAUGUGCACAAUUGAGAUUAAGUUAAAAUUGACAGGAAGGUGGUGGCUAUUUUGAGUCUAUGGUUAUAGGCUUGGUCUGUCCUCAUGCUGACUUGGUCUGCGUGCCUAGGUUCAAGAUUGCCUCCAUGGGGAAUAGGCCUGCCUGCACACGUCUUACAGCCAGGGAGAUUCUUACAAUAUAUCACUUGUACAUGAGUCCCUUUCUCAGGAUCUGCUUUUGUGGCAUUCACCCUAAAUGCAACACCAUAGAAUCCUUUAAACAAAGAACAAAACGUAAUGGGUUGAACUCUCAGCAGACUGCAAAGAUGAACAGAAAUCUGCAAAAGAUACUGAGAAUAAACAUCCAGUGUCAGAGAACAAAAAUCAUCAUGACAAUGUUUUAGAAACUAAGCAAAGAAAGAGCUUCCACGGAAGGAACAGGUGAUUAAAAGUGUCAAAUAUUGGUUAUAGAUAAUGUAAAAUGAAUUGACUAUUGAGUUAAGCACGUUUACAGUGAAACUUUAACAGAAGCUGUUCUGGAGGAGUGACACAAUCAGAAUAGAAUGGGAGAAGGGAAAUUUUAGAUAAUAAAUAUAGGGAACAUUUUCCA
rnacentral:lncRNA from 13 species